rnacentral:rRNA from 1 species
UACGUAGGGUGCAAGCGUUGUCCGGAAUUAUUGGGCGUAAAGGGCUCGUAGGCGGUCUGUCGCGUCGGGAGUGAAAACUCGGGGCUUAACUCCGAGCCUGCUUCUGAUACGGGCAGACUAGAGGUAUGCAGGGGAGAAUGGAAUUCCUGGUGUAGCGGUGAAAUGCGCAGAUAUCAGGAGGAACACCGGUGGCGAAGGCGGUUCUCUGGGCAUGACCUGACGCUGAGGAGCGAAAGUGUGGGGAGCGAACAGG